CCUACGGGCGGCAGCAGUGGGGAAUAUUGGACAAUGGGGGAAACCCUGAUCCAGCGACGCCGCGUGAGUGAAGAAGUAUUUCGGUACGUAAAGCUCUAUCAGCAGGAAAGAAAAUGACGGUACCUGACUAAGAAGCCCCGGCUAACUACGUGCCAGCAGCCGCGGUAAUACGUAGGGGGCAAGCGUUAUCCGGAUUUACUGGGUGUAAAGGGAGCGUAGACGGCAGCGCAAGUCUGGAGUGAAAUGCCGGGGCUCAACCCCGGAACUGCUCUGGAAACUGUGAGGCUGGAGUGCAGGAGAGGUGAGCGGAAUGCCUGGUGUAGCGGUGAAAUGCGUAGAUAUCAGGAGGAACACCGGCGGCGAAGGCGGCUUACUGGACUGUAACUGACGUUGAGGCUCGAAGGCGUGGGGAGCAAACAGGAUUAGAUACCCUUGUAGUC
rnacentral:rRNA from 1 species